UUAAGUUCAGCGGGUAUCCCUACCUGAUCCGAGGUCAAAGUAAAAAAGAGGCUUAAUGGAAGGAGUUAUGCUGAAAUUAUGACGCAAUGUGCUGCGCACGAAGCCAACAUACUGGCUGCCAAUGAAUUUAAGGCGAGUCCACGCGCUGAGGCGGAACAAACACCCAACACCAAGCAGAGCUUGAAGGUUUAAAUGACGCU
rnacentral:misc_RNA from 1 species